UUCAACGCUCUUCCAGAAAGACUGCUGCAGAAAGGAAACAUUACCUCUGUCCUAAGCGAGUGGCUUCAUGCAAAGCAAGAAAUGGAUACUACAAAAUCACAUGGAUUUUUCCUAGCCAGCUUCCUUGUCCUCAUGCUCUUGGGUGAUCUCACUGAGGCCUGUACAUGUCAGCGACUAGGUCUGCGGAAAGCAUGUUGCCAUCAUGACUUUGUGAUGAGGGUCCUAUUUAUGGGUGUCCAGCAGGAUCCUGACUCUCCUUCAUAUAUGCGCAUAAAUAAAUUUUCUAUUCGGCCUGUUCAGGUAUUCAAGGGUUCAGGGAGAGCAGUAAAUGCACAGUUUCUCUACUCACCAGAAUUAAACUCUUACUG